rnacentral:rRNA from 1 species
GGACCUGAGAGGGUGACCCCCCACAAUGGAACUGAAACACGGUCCAUACACCUACGGGUGGCAGCAGUAGGGAAUAUUGCACAAUGGGCGAAAGCCUGAUGCAGCAACGCCGCGUGCACGAAGAAGGUCUUCGGAUCGUAAAGUGCUUUUCUGAGAGAUGAGAAAGGACAGUAUCUCAGGAAUAAGUCUCGGCUAACUACGUGCCAGCAGCCGCGGUAAAACGUAGGAGGCAAGCGUUAUCCGGAUUCACUGGGCGUAAAGCGCGUGCAGGCGGUUCGGUAAGUUGGGCGUGAAAUCUCCCGGCUCAACUGGGAGAGGUCGUUCAAUACUACCGGGCUAGAGAGCAGUAGAGGAAGAUGGAAUUCCCGGUGUAGUGGUGAAAUGCGUAGAUAUCGGGAGGAACACCAGUGGCGAA